rnacentral:rRNA from 1 species
UACGUAGGUCCCGAGCGUUGUCCGGAUUUAUUGGGCGUAAAGCGAGCGCAGGUGGUUUAUUAAGUCUGGUAUGAAAGGCAGUGGCUCAACCAUUGUAUGCAUUGGAAACUGGUAGACUUGAGUGCAGGAGAGGAGAGUGGAAUUCCAUGUGUAGCGGUGAAAUGCGUAGAUAUAUGGAGGAACACCGGUGGCGAAAGCGGCUCUCUGGCCUGUAACUGACACUGAGGCUCGAAAGCGUGGGGAGCAAACAGG